ensembl:processed_transcript Gas5 growth arrest specific 5
CACAGCCCCGAGCCAAAGGGGCGGAAGGUCGCCGAGUGCUGGGAGGGGAGGUGGGGCAGCGACUGAGCGCCGCAGGAGCUGGCUGCAACCCAGACGCGGCCCGGGAGCGUCGGGAAUGGCAAUGUGGACCUCUGUGAUGGGACAUCUUGUGGGAUCUCACAGCCAGUUCUGUGGCAAAGGAGGAUGAAGGCUUACGAGGACUCGUCAGGAAGCUGGAUAACAGAACAAGUGCAAUGUGCUAGAAGACCAGAAAAUGAAAUGGUGGAGUUUGAGGCUGGAUAGACAGUUUGAAAGGGCUCCUGUGACAAGUGGACAUGCAGUGACUGUACCUUUGUUUCUGAGGUGCCUGGAUGGAGGCUCAAAUAGAAGAUGGUGUCAGAUAUAUUGUGUUGUCAAAAUUUUACCAUUAAAGUGUAUUAUAACAUGAA